CAUGUGGUGCAUGACUAUCUGUCUCAUCGUAAUUGCUGUGAAGUAAAAGGGAAGGAAGAGGCACUUUUUGUAAACAAGUAUUUCAGUGUGUGGAGAACUUGGUGUAGCACAGUGGUGCAAACACUCUAGAACUCAAUGCAAAAACCUGAGACUGCAAAAAUAAGCAAACAUCUUGAAGAAAGAAGGAAUUGAAAGUAUUGAAGGAGAAAACUGCACAGUUCUUGUGGGUUUUUUUGUUGUUGUUGUUUUGUUUUGUUUUGUUGAAUUAUACUGCUUCUCGAGCAAGGAGAAGAGAAAAGAUGGCUUUAAAAGAUUUGGCUUGCAACGAGUUGUUUGAAAUCAUGCUACUACAAAAACACUGUCUUCUUCCCUCAUCGAUUUGUAGAGUUUUCAUGGUGUUCCAUUCGCAGAUCCUUUGGAGUGUCUAUAAUUUCUUUCUCUGAUUUUAUACACCUUAGACAUGUGGCAAGAAAAGUGUUUUUUUGACUGUGCAGAAAUACUGUGGCAACAGACAAGAUCGUAUUUGGAAGUGGGAUCACUUUCUCAGUUGAACCAAGUAAGUUCUGCUUGUUUUUGCUACUAAUUCUUCAUUUUGGGGUGGACAGAAUGGGUAGUGGGAUACUGCGGUUUGAGUUUUCUGCCUUUCAGGAUCAGAACACGUACUUUCCAACCAGGUGUCUUGGUCCUGACUUCAACCUGACAAAUAUUUUCUGGAGCAACAAUGUUGGUUUCUUAGCUCUGUGAACAAGCAUUGCUCCACAGAUCUCCAACCCCAGCACUCCUCCUUGCCCUUUAGUGGCUGUACUACUCAAUUUAACACUGUAUUAAUUAUACCCUGGGGGGAGGGGUUGUUCUGUCCUAGCUUUAGUAUGAGGUGAAAGUUGUUUUCUUUCAUUUGUGCAGAGCCAAGGUGUAUGGAAAGGAGAAGAGAAAUGUUAAGUGCUUCAGCAGAAAAGAGGUCCUAUGGAAAGAUAGGACACAACAUUUAUAGCAAUAAAUGAUUGAAAUGUGAGAAAGCACUGCAUGUUUGGAAAUGCCACUCUACAAAAGGUAGUCUUUGUAAGGAUAUUCCUCUUCCCCAGCUUUUGUGUAGAACUUAGAGCAAUAGAUAAGUGUAUUGAGUUAAUUUAUAUUGCUCUAAAACACUCAUUUACCUACCAUCACCCUCCACUUGCCUUCUGCCCUACCCUGAUUCACAUACAUUGUUUCAAUGGUUUCCAUGGUUUCCAGGCACUGAAACAACUGCCCAAUGGCAAGCAGAGACCUGGUCUCUAGCACCUCCAUGACUGGAGGACCCACAACUCUCUGGGCAGCUGUGUCAAAAAGAUUUCUAACAUCUAAACUGAAUUUCCCCUCUACUAGUUUAAACUACUAAUAAUAAGCCAUUUCCCCUUGUCCUAUCACUUUCAGACUGUGUAAAAAGUUGGUCCUCCUCCUGCUUAUAGGCUCCUGUCAAGCCCUGGAAGGCCACAGCAAGGUAUCCUGGCAGCCUUCUCUUCUCUAGGAUGAGCACUCCCAGCUCAGCCCAUCUCCAUAGUAGAAGUGCUGCAACCCUCAGAGCUUAAACAUUUGAGAUGUCAGGGAACAGUGGGUUAGCUGAUCUUUAAUGGAUGAGAGCUAAGAAUGACAGCAUAGCCAGAAGGACUUGUUAUGCUGCUGAAUGAGUAGGUUAGGCUUGGGUGCCCAAGGAAGGAAUUCAGGUCAGUUCUCAAGUCAAGGCCCAGAUCAACAGGGUCCAUAGAAACACAGGAUUAUAGAAUCACAGAACUGCUUGUGUUGGUAGAGACCUUAAAAAUUAUCUAUUUCCAACGACCAUGUCAGAAAAUGGACAGCUCCCACUGAAUCAGGUUGCUGAGCCCCAUUCAACUUGGUUGUGAACAACCCUCAGCAUGGGGCAUCCACAUCUUCUCAGGGCAACCUGUUCCAGUACUUUACCAUUCUUAUAAUGAAAAUUUUCUUCGUAAUAUCUAAGCUAAAUUUACAGAGUUUAUUUUUUUACUUUUAAGCCAUUAUUCCUUAGCCUAUCACUACACUUCUGGAUCUAGAGUCCCUCUCCAGCUUUCCUGUAGGUCCCCUGUAAGUACUGGCAGGCUGCUAUUUAUGUCUUCUCAGGUGUUUCUCUUCUAGAAUAACCUCAACUCGCUCAGCCUCUCUGGGUUCUCAUGGGAGAAUUGCUCCUGCCUCCUGAUCAUAUCACAGAAUUUGGUUUCUUUUUCAGAAAGACAAAAAGAUUCUACACCAGAAGUCAUUGCACUUAAAUCAAAGGAGUGCAAACAGUAUGCCAGUGUUUUGAAUGUGGCUUGUUUGGCAAGAACAUUCUACAAGAACAUUAGUCUUGAUGGGCCCAAGGGUGACAUUGUGUAUGAUCUGAAGGAACCUAUUCUCACAUCUGAGGGGAUGUACAGUACCUUGAAAGUAGUCGGCGUAAAACGAGAUACAGAAGGGACCUGCAAAGCUGUGCACAAGGGGAAUAAGACUGUAGCAAGCACAGUCCUGCCUGGUAAAAACACAAACUGAUUCUGUUAGACGGCUCUUCCAAUAUACUUUUUGUUUUCUGAGCACUUAGCAGCCACAAUUUAGGUACAGUCAGAAAGAUUUUUUAGGUGCUUAGUCAUGUGGAAACUAGGUAUUGAGAAGAACCCAGUGUAGAUUAUCUUAAUUCAGCUAUAUAAGAAUUUAGAGUUUUCUUCUCAAAACACAAAAAGGAAAAGCAGCCAACCACACAACAACAGUAACAUCAAGAAACACCAAGCAGAAGCUAAAACCAAAACCAUUAAUUUUUGGCUGCCUACUUUUAUCUAAGGCAGAAGAGUUCAAGUCAUGAGUAUAUGUAUAACAGUAGAAAGUCUGAAAUAAUUUAUGAAAAUAAAAAUAAGAAGUUUGAUUUUUUUUUUUUCUAAAUCUUUUGUUUAUUUUUUAUUUUUCUUAUGGUAAAGUGCAUUCCAAAAAGGAGAUAAAAUUCUUAGUGGAAAAAUCCUGGUGGAUUUUUCUAGCAAUCACUUGUAAACAGCUAGUAUUUAUCUUCAUAAUAAUUUCAGAAUUAGUGACCUGCCUUUCAUCUGAUAGUCUAAUUUUACUGUUGGGAAACGGGGUAUAGGUGUGCUUUAUGUAAUUCUUGUUUCAUCUAGUUUACAAACAGUUUAUAGUGUCUCUCAAUCAUUCAACAGAAGAGAAAGAUGAAGAACUGGCAUCAGAGAAUGCUUGCAACUUUACAGAUGCCUCUAAAAAAGAUGUCAAAAUGGAGAAAAUGAAUAUGCUGUUCAUGGUUGUUUUGGGUUUGAGGGUCCUGCUGGCAAAAUGCAUCGCCUUCAACACACUCAUGAGUAUCUGUCCAUUCAUAUUCUGAGGUAGGAAAUACAUCAUUCAGCCCUUGGGAGCAUAGGAGUCAAGUGAAGGAAGUGUAGACCAGUUGGCUUUGCAUCCUUCUAUAAACCCACCACGAGUGAUAUCAGCUCUGUUUUUUCAUCUUCCAGUGAUUUAUUCAAUAUUUCCAUUGACUAAUUAAUUGGCUGCUCAUCAAACAGCUUUAUAGGUCAGGCUAGCCCAGAGAAAGUCUGGAGAAAAGUCCAGAUCAGCAUGGACUGUAAGAGAGUAAUCCCCAAACACAGCAAAUGUGAAAUCAGGAAGGAAAACUAUGGAGGGAGAAUUUUGAAGAAUAAGUAUCCAAAAUGACCAAAAAGAUUAUCCAGUCCAAGUCCAUUCCAAAUUAACAAAUCUCAUUAAACAAAUGUUUCUCUUUCAGGUAUUAGGUAAGUGAGCCAGCAGUGGGCUGAAGAAGAAGAGAAUAUAUAGCAGUAUAAUUUAAAUUCUAUGGCUCAACUUUGCUGACAAUAAGCAUUUAAAAAAAAAGAAAACAAAGAAGCCACCCCCCAUUCCCUGUUCCUGUAGAUAUGUCCCAUCACUUCAUGAUGGUGCUCUUUAGUUAACAUCAUCUGAAAGCUAUCUUAAACUGUUAAUACUGUUUAACUCUUGCCUUUUUCAGUUUUAUUAAUUGUUAAAAUAACAAUUUGUUAUUUCUUAUUUCCUUACAAAAUUUCCUUCAUCCUUAUGCUAAGCAGGAAUACUUACAUCUCUAACUUUAGCCAAACAUCCUAGUUUUGAAAGUGUUAAAACUGAGCUUAUUUACUUACUAUGCUUUAAAAAUAACAUCUCUCUUGUCAUAUUGCAUUACUGUCUACAGAAGCAAUGUCAUACUGCUUAGGGAUCCCUAAACAUAAAGGAAAUAUUGUAUGGUCUUUUUUAUUGUAUUGUCUUUUUAAAAAACUUAACAAGUGGUAAUUUUCUAGUGUAUGUAAACUCUGUUGAUCUCUGCUAGAUCUGAAGGAACUGACUGUAGUCAGAUUUAUAGUAGGACUUCCAUUUGUUUCUAUUCUUCAGAACAUUUUACUCUUUGUUAAGUAUGUGGACCCUGAAUUUUAGGUUUCCUUAAUUAAGGUCAAAAUAAAGUUUUAUUACGUUGAA